AGAGAAGCAGAGACCGGCAGUGAAGGGAGAAAAAGGGAAAGAAGAAAGGAAAAAGAAAAAGGAAAAGGAAAAGAAGAAAGGAAAAAGAAGAAGAAAAGAGGUGAUAUUUGUACGAAUUGGAGCUCAAGUUUGGGGAUUUCUUCAUUUCCAAUUUUAGCUAGGAGACCGUCGAUUUUGAGAUACUGGGAAAAGCCUUCUGAAGCGAAAGAGACCAUUUCAUAGUAUGUAAUGUAUAGUUGGGGAACUCAUGUUUAUUAAGUACUUGUCUAAUAUUUGGUGUGUCAUGCACUUCGUAGAAAGGUUGGUAAUUGAUGUGAUGCUUGCAUGUUGACAUGAUGAUGUUGUAGAAGCACUCAAUCGAAUUUUGUUAUAUUUUGUUGUAGUUGUGGUGGUAUUAGAGGAUGUGGUGGUUUCCAAAACUUUUGGUUUAAAUGUCUAUUUGAGAUUUUGAUGAUUUUUCAUGUUGGUUUUGUCCAUGUUACAGGGAAAACUCUGUCAAAAUUUUUAUAGAAUUA